rnacentral:lncRNA from 1 species
CUGCCACAAGACUUUGCUAUCUUUGUUAUCUACGCUUUCUUGCUUUUACUGUUUCUCUGCAGGGCUUUAGCUUUUCACUAACUGGCAGAUUUAGGUCACAGACAUUUGUGUGUGUGUGUGUGUGUGUGUGUGUGUUUAUGGUGUGAAGUGUGCCAGGGCUAGCCAACUAAGAGGCCUUUGUCUUGGGAGGCCUGUAGAGUUGUCUUGCCAGGGAAAUGGGUCACUUUCAUCAAUUUAAAGAAAAACAACGAAGAAAUUAUUAGAGCAAAAAACACUGGCUACCGGCUUUGCUGAUUCAGCAACAGAUCUUUGUCCCCCCAUAAAAUCUUGUGUUUUUUCUUCUCAACAGCAGAGUAAACACAGUAAACACAGCCUUUUUACUACCGCAUUCUCAAUAUCUACAUAUAUAACAACAGUAGCACCUUCCGCACAGUGCAAUAAUACAGUGACACACCCUGCAGUUAUCAGUUAUCAGCAGAGAGCAGACGCAGCCUUCAGAACAGACACUCCAACAAAGAACCAGAAGCAACAUAUCUUCCAUUCAUGAGCAGCUUCAACUGCUUGGAUAUCUCAGACAGCCCAACUAAGCUCUCUCUUAGCUGGACCCUCUAUUUUAUACCCAUUCCCCUCCCUCCAGGUCUGAGGGGCCCUCCCAAAAGGUCAAGAAAGCGGAUGGAGGCGGCUUCUGCACCUAAACCAAUCCCUCCUUGAGGAUCCCUGUGUGUGGAAGGGGCUUGAUAUAAGAAUCCCAGCCUCUGGCUUGUGUGGGUAUAUUCCCUUCCACAAGCCUCUCUGGCUCAUAGCAUGCAGGAAGCAGCUGACCUACUCAUCUAACAAAACACAGCUGCUGCUGUUCACUGAGGACUUCUGUGCACCAUGGAUUGAAGACGCUAAAGGUUCCACAGAGACCACCAGCCAGCAGCAUGAGCAGUGUGAACUCCCCCGCCUGUCUGCUGGCACGGAAUCACUUCUACAGGAGUGCCAGCCCCACUGAAAAAGUGAAGCCUGUGUUCAGUUUGACACAAAGUCAAGUGUCCAUCUGGGUGACCACAUCCUCACACCAAGGAAUUCCUGGACAGGAGACCAGUAAAUGGGUAGUGAAUGUGGUUUUGAAGAGUCCAGUACGACCUCCUCCAAACAGCUAAUGCAAGCUGACCUGUAGGAAGUCUAGUAGACCCUCUUCAUAUGGCUGAAAAGACUCCACGCAGUGUUACAGAGAGAGAGAGAGAGACUCUGCUAUUCCUCCUUCAGGACAGUGGUUAAAGGCUUUGGACAUGGAUGAGUUCCAGUUAUAUCCUAAAUGUUAAAUGCACUUCUUCAAUGCAUCAAAGGAAAAAUUGUCCAAACAACUUGCAGCUAAGUUUGUCCACAAUGCAUUCCCACCCUACCUACCUUUCAUUUUCCAUGCUUUCCCCAGAGGCUACCAUGUAACAUACUUGUUUUAAAAGUAUGGCUUAAAGAGACUGAACAGUAGAGGCUCUCAGCUUCUGGCACUUUCACCCAGCUUUCUAAAGUGGACCUGUUG